rnacentral:rRNA from 1 species
GGUAGCAUAAUCACUUGUCCCCUAAAUAGGGACUAGCAUGAACGGCUAAAUGAGGAUUACACUGUCUCUUGUAGCUAACCAAUGAAACUGAUCUUGUAGUUCAAAAGCUACAAUAUAACCACCAGACGAGAAGACCCUGUGGAGCUUUAAACCAAAACCAAAUUAAUGGCCCCCUGGUUUUUAGUUGGGGCAACUUCGGAGUACACAACAACCUCCGACAAAAAAAAGUUAAGACAGACAGGUCUAAACAACUUGCUCGACCCAAUACUCUACUUUAGAUUAUUUGACCAAUGAACCAAGUUACCCCAGGGAUAACAGCGCUAUCCCCUUUUAGAGUCCCUAUCGACAAGGGGGCUUACGACCUCGAUGUUGGAUCAGGACACCCAAAUAAUGCAGCCGUUAUUAAAGGUUCGUUUGUUCAACGAUUAAAGUCCUACGUGAUCUGAGUU